UCAGAUGUGCGGGACUUCUUGAGGCUACUCCCGUGGAGAAUGGUAGAUUCAUCAGAACGGGGCACAGGGAAGCCUGCAGCCUCUGGUGCAGGUACUAUUCCCAAGACAAAGGGAAGGAAAGUACAAGGACUAAACACUGUGAAAAGCAAGUCCAGGCAGCCCCGCCCUGCCGCUAGAACUAACAGACCAUAAAAGGAAAGGAAUGCAGAACAGACCAGGAGUACCGGAUCUGACUCACAGGCCACCUGGCAGGAAGAGAUAAGCUCCCAGCCCCCGACAUCCAGGACGCCCCAAACCUGCCAAUGUGUGUAGCUAUACCUUAUUACCUCAUCAUGUAAAAUAGCCAAUCAUAUGUGAACAUGUCUAUGUGCCUCGUUUGAAUCCACCAAUCCCCGUAACUAUGCAUCUGCUUCUGUACGCCCGCUUCUGCUUCCCCAAUCCCUAUAAAAGCCCCAUGCUGGAGCUGCUGGGCACGCAAGUCCUCUGAAGAGACUGUGUGCCCGCAGGUACCUGUGUUUUCCAAUAAAC
rnacentral:lncRNA from 1 species